AGAGUUUGAUCAUGGCUCAGGACGAACGCUGGCGGCGUGCUUAACACAUGCAAGUCGAGCGAGGCCCUCCUUCGGGGGGUGCCCUAGCGGCGAACGGGUGAGUAACACGUGGGCAACCUGCCCUCAGCUCUGGGAUAACUCCAAGAAAUUGGUGCUAAUACCGGAUGUGACCGCUGACCGCAUGGUCUGGUGGUGGAAAGAUUCAUCGGCUGAGGAUGGGCCCGCGGCCUAUCAGCUUGUUGGUGGGGUGAUGGCCUACCAAGGCGACGACGGGUAGCCGGCCUGAGAGGGUGACCGGCCACACUGGGACUGAGACACGGCCCAGACUCCUACGGGAGGCAGCAGUGGGGAAUAUUGCGCAAUGGGCGAAAGCCUGACGCAGCGACGCCGCGUGAGGGAUGACGGCCUUCGGGUUGUAAACCUCUUUCAGUAGGGACGAAGCGCAAGUGACGGUACCUACAGAAGAAGCACCGGCCAACUACGUGCCAGCAGCCGCGGUAAUACGUAGGGUGCAAGCGUUGUCCGGAAUUAUUGGGCGUAAAGAGCUCGUAGGCGGUCUGUCACGUCGGCUGUGAAAACCCGAGGCUCAACCUCGGGCCUGCAGUCGAUACGGGCAAACUAGAGUACUGCAGGGGAGACUGGAAUUCCUGGUGUAGCGGUGAAAUGCGCAGAUAUCAGGAGGAACACCGGUGGCGAAGGCGGGUCUCUGGGCAGUAACUGACGCUGAGGAGCGAAAGCGUGGGGAGCGAACAGGAUUAGAUACCCUAGUAGUCC
rnacentral:rRNA from 1 species